rnacentral:tRNA from 1 species
GCGCCGGUGGUGCAAUGGCGCAGAGCAUCCCCGCCUGGUCAGCAGGAGGUGAAGGUUCGGGUCCCUCCUGGCGCU